rnacentral:rRNA from 1 species
GACGAACGCUGGCGGCAUGCUUAACACAUGCAAGUCGAAAAUAGUGGCGAACGGGAGAGUAAUACGUGGGUAACCUGCCCUCCUGGUUGGGAUAAGCCUUGGAAACGGGGGCUAAUACCGAAUAAAGGGGAAUGGGAUCGCGGCCUAUCAGCGUGGUGGGGGGGUGGUGGGCUACCAAGGGGGUGACGGGUAGCCGGCCUGAGAGGGUGCACGGCCACAGUGGGACUGCGAUACUGCCCAGACUAGUACUGGAGGCAGAAGGUGGGAAUAUUGCACAAUGGGUGAAAGACUGAUUCAGCGACGCCGCGGGGGGGAUGAAGGCUGUCGGGUUGUAAACCGCGUUCGGUAUCGAACGGGUAGGUGGAGAAGAAGCGCCGGCUAACUACGUGCCAGCAGCCGCGGUAAUUC